CAUCUCGUGUUGGUCAAGUCUGUGAUUGCAGCCAAGCCCAUCCAUCAUUUCAUGGUCACGAAGGCCCCUUCUUGGGUGUUCGAAGAGAUAGAUCAAUAGAUGUGUUCUUUCUUUUGGGCCGUCAAAGACAAAGUGAAUGGCGGUCAGUGCUUGGUGGCUUGGAAUUCGGCUUGUAAACCCACUUGUCUUGGUGUUCUGGGUGUUCGCAACCUUCAAUUGCAAGGCUUGGCCUUGAGAGUGAGGUGGGAGUGGUUGAGGCGGACGGACCCCGAGAGGCCGUGGCAAGGGCUACCCAUGGUUGUGGACAAGGAGGCUCAUGCGGUCUUUGACAUUAUGGUGCAUAUUUCGGUUGGGGUGGGCAACAAAGUUCUAUUCUGGAGAGAUAGGUGGAUCCAUGGCUUCCUGGUUAAAGACAUUGCACCAUACAUCCAUGCUUUUGUUGACACACGAACGAUAAACCGCCGCAUGGUGGAGGAAGGCUUAGAGAAUGGGAGAUGGCUGCUUGAUAUUUCCGGUGAAGUCAACUUUGGAGGCCAUAUGCAACUCUUACACCUCAACCUAGCGAUCAGCAUGGUCAAUCGUGACCCUUUCAGUGAAGACUCUUUUUCCUGGCCGGCGGAUCCAUCUGGCAGAUACACUUCCAAGUCCACAUACUAUAGGCUCUGUUUGGGUGCUGAGAGGGUCCCUUAUGCCACAUGCAUAUGGAAGAGUUGGGACCUCCUCAAGUGCAAAAUCUUCGUGUGGCUGGCAGUACAACACCGGAUUUGGACCUCUGACAGAAGAGCAAGGCAUGGCCUUCAGGACACCCUACAUGUGCCUUCAAGAGGAGGAUAA
rnacentral:rRNA from 1 species